UUACCAACUAUCUACACAAGGAGAUAAGGGGGAAGGGGGUUACAAAGGAGUACGUGGACCAUCUGGUAGACCCGGCCCACCUGGUCCUUUUGGCUAUCCUGGCGAGAAGGGAGAGAAUGGAAUUCUGGGGUAUCCAGGGGGACGGGGUCCUCCUGGUUUUAAUGGACCUCCCGGAUCUCCAGGAAGACC